rnacentral:tRNA from 1 species
GGACGCUUAACUCAGCAGGGAGAGUGUUUGCCUUACAAGCAAAAGGUCGUAGAUUCGAGCCCUACAGCGUCUA